CUGAACCAGCCAAGUAGCGUGAAGGAUGACUGCCCUAUGGGUUGUAAACUUCUUUUAUAUGGGAAUAAAGUUUUCCACGUGUGGCAUUUUGUAUGUACCAUAUGAAUAAGGAUCGGCUAACUCCGUGCCAGCAGCCGCGGUAAUACGGAGGAUCCGAGCGUUAUCCGGAUUUAU
rnacentral:rRNA from 1 species